CGGCCGUGGUCACGCGGGGCGGCGCGCAUGCGCGGGGCGGCUGUUUAGCGCCGCCGUUAGCGCUGCCGUUAGCGGCGGGGCUCUAUGGGGAGAACAUGGCUCCUUUCCCCGAGGAGGUGGACGUCUUCUCGGCUCCGCACUGGCGGAUGAAGCAGCUUGUGGGGCUCUACUGCGACAAGCUUUCCAAGACUAACUUCUCCAACAACAAUGACUUCCGGGCUCUGCUGCAAUCUCUUUAUGCCACAUUCAAGGAAUUUAAAAUGCAUGAGCAGAUUGAAAAUGAGUGUAUCAUUGGUUUACUUCAGCAACGUAGCCGGACAGUGUACAAUGUGCACUCGGACAACAAACUCUCAGAGAUGCUUAGCCUCUUUGAGAAAGGGUUAAAGAAUGUGAAGAAUGAAUACGAACAGCUAAACUAUGCGAAACAGCUGAAGGAGAGAUUGGAAGCCUUUACCAGGGAUUUCCUUCCUCAUAUGAAAGAGGAAGAGGAGGUUUUUCAGCCAAUGUUGAUGGAAUACUUUACUUAUGAAGAAUUGAAAGAUAUUAAGAAAAAAGUAAUUGCACAGCACUGCUCACAGAAGGAGGCUGCAGAAUUCAGAGGUCUUAGUAAGUGGAAUCAAGCAGAAGAGCUGCAGAAGGUCUUCAAAUAUUCUGUGGAUGAGAAGGCAGAUCAAGAAACCGAAGUAACAGGGCACACCACAAAUAUUAGUAAUCUUCCUCCUGAAGUAAUGCUGACCAUUUUCAGUUACCUUAACCCCCAAGAGUUAUGUCAGUGUAGUCAAGUAAGCACUGAAUGGUCACAGCUGGCUAAAACUGGAUCUCUCUGGAAACAUCUUUACCCUGUUCGCUGGGCUAGAGGUGAUUGGUAUAGUGGUCCUGCAGCCGAUCUUGAGACAGAACCUGAUGAGGAAUGGGUGAAAAAUAGAAAAGAUGAAAGUCGUGCUUUCCAGGAAUGGGAUGAAGAUGCUGACAUAGAUGAAUCUGAAGAAGCAGCUGAAGAUUCACUUGCUAUUAAUGUAGCACAAAUGGAAAAACGUUUACUUCAUGGCUUAAUUCAUAAUGUCCUCCCGCAUGUAGGUUCCUCAGUGAAGACAUUAGUAUUGGCCUACAGUUCUGCAGUGUCUAGCAAAAUGGUUAGACAGAUCUUGGAGCUUUGCCCAAACUUGGAAUAUUUGGAUCUCACUCAAACUGAUAUUUCAGAUUCUGCAUUUGAAAGUUGGUCUUCAGUUGGUUGUUGUCAAAAUCUCCGCCACCUUGAUCUGUCUGGAUGUGAAAAAAUCACAGAUGUGGCUAUAGAGAGGAUUUCCAGAGCUCUGGGUAUCAUAUCCACUCACCAUAACAGAGGUAUCCUGAAAAGCUGCAGAAACAGGAAUGCUAAGACUUUGUGGAAAAACAGAGAGAUUACUUUGCAGUCCAACAAGAAGUAUAAUUGUUUGCAUGAAAUCAACAAUGAAAACCUCAUUGAGGGAGGAGAUAGUGAGCAGCAUUGGACUAAACCUGACGGCUCAGAAAACUUCAGUUCUGCUUAUGUGUGGAUGUUAGAUGCAGAUGAUUUAGCUGACAUUGAAGAUGCUGCGGAGUGGCGACACAGAAACGUUGAAGGAUUUUGUCUUAUGGAACCAACAUCCCAUAUUAAUUGUUCUGCAUCUUGCUACAGUAGAGACAUUUAUGGAUUAAGGACUAGAGGGUGGCAGCAGCACUGUGCUUCUACAGACUUGAUUUACUGCGGUCACUCAUUUUGUUGUGCUGGGACAGCACUAAGAACUAUUCGAGCACUUCCAGAGUCCUCUGCACUGUGUAAAAAACCAACAAGGACUAAGCAGUCAGAGAAAAAAGACUCAGCAUACUCUGGGAGUGAAAAAACAGAUGAAGAGACUGCACGAGUUCUUCAGUUUCUCAGUCUGUCUGGAUGUUACCAGAUCACAGACCGUGCUCUCAGGGCAUUGACUCUGGGAGGAGGACUGCCGCAUUUGGAACACCUUAACCUCUCGGGUUGUCUCACUGUAACUGGUGCAGGCCUGCAGGAUUUAGUUUCUGCAUGCCCUUCUCUGAACGAUGAACACUUUUACUACUGUGACAACAUUAACGCAGCAGCCAAAAAAGCCACCAGUGUUAUGCGGCAUCAGGGCGUUGGGAACAAGAUAGUGUGCUGCAUGGUCCUGGAAGCCUUGGGGCACUCACAUGUGGAGUACUGCAUGCGGUUUUGGUCUCCCCAUCUUGAGGAGUGUAUGUGAUGGAGUUACAGAAGAUACAGAAGAGGCCUACUAAAAAGAGUUAGGGAACUGAGCGGCUGUCUUGCAAGGAGACACUCAAAAGGCUGGAAUCUUUCAAUAUGGGAAUGAGAAGGCAGGAAGGGGGAUGACUUUCCAGAACUGGGAAGGCAAUAGAUGAGGUGACUGUGCAACAGUAACUCUCCAAAUUCUGCAGUAUUAUCAUUCGGCAACAGUAGAUGAAAUGGGUAGGAGAUUGAUUUAAAGCAGACACACAACGUAGCAAACUUCUGGAAUUUGGCCCUGUGGGGAAUUGUGGAAGCAGUUAGUAUCAGCAGGUUAAAAUAGAGGUUAAACAAAUGCAUGCACAAUUGAGCCUUAAACAAAUAAUAAAGAGAAUAGACUUUAAUGUCCCUACUACAACAGUUAGGGAUGCUGGGAAGACACGAAAGGUGUGCACAGUAGGCUUUUAUCUCCCUCGGUAACACUUGCUGUUGCCAGUGAUGGAGGUAGGGAGGGUUAGAUGGACCAUUGCUCAGACCUAGAAGGACAGCUUUUCUGUUCCAGUUGUGAGCAAGAGAAGGAUGGAAAGCGGUGUCAAAAUCCUUCCUUGGGAUUGUUGUGGUUCUGUAGGUUUUGUCAACAAGCAUUUUACUAGAAAUGUGACAGUUGCUUCAAAAUUACUGCUGCGCUGCUUAGCGGUGGCAAUGAUGAGGAAGGUCAGCUAUGACUUGGGAAAUGCUGCCACACAGAACAUGCGCUGCUAAACCAGCUAUUCAGAAGCACCGACUCUAGCUCGUCCUCAUGCUGAAACCGCCAGUGGAUGCCAGAAUUUGCAGUGUGGUUUUCGGGCCUGCUGCCGCUCUGGCGAAUGACCGCUGACUUCUGACCUUUCAGUCUACUUCAUUUAGCUGAGCAGGCUUCCUUUCAUGCACUUUACUUACAGUUCGCAUCUUGUGUUAACAAUCCUUGGAGUGAGAUUUGUUAUACUAGCCUGACCCUGCCCACAACUUCAAAAUGUUAAUUAUGAGUGUACUGUACAGUGUUGUAACAAUCUCACAAAAUCUCAUUUGGUUUGAAGGGUGUUGGGUUUUGUUUUACUUAAUUUGGGGAAGAUGGGAAAACAUUCAGAUUAUUUUUUUUUUAAUGCCACUUUCUUCCAAGUUUGGCACUUAAAUAUACUUUACAGGAUUAUUUUUGUGUUAAGUGAAUGUUUUUUUAAUUUUGAAUCCGUAAGUACAAUAUAAAGCUCUGCAGAGAAUUUGAAAUGUACUGUUUGCAUUUGGGUAACAAUUCUACAUCUUUAGGAGCCUUGUUUCUUCCCCCUUUCCUCUCAUCCUGAAGUCGUUCUUUAUAUUGCAAAAUUAGGGAAAUUCCCACCUUCCUUUUGCAUUUGGUUUUGUAUUUGGGCUUGAAAGACAUACUCAAAUAAAACAUUCCCACCAACAAAAAAGUUAUGUAGCGGUUGAAUAUAUAUGCUUUUAAGGUGUAACAUCCAGGCGUGCCAUACCAGUAGGCUGCAGAGACUGGGUGGGUGGGUGCUGUGCUGGUUGCAGAGCUGUGAACCUUGCAGUGUGCGUGGGGGGGUUUGUUUUGGUUUUGUUUCUUCUUUGACUGUGUUAAGAUGCAUUUUUGAAACAACUUCAAAGGAUGUCAGUUCUCAUUCACAGGAAAUCUGUAGAAGACAAUGAUACAUUUUGCCCAUUGCUUUGAUUUUUAGAAAGACCCCUCCCUGCACAGUAAGGGACUGGCAGGGAGGAAGAGAAUCUCUUGUUGGGCUGAGCGAAACCUGCACUAGGAGGAGACACGAGUAACGUAUGAGUCGCGUGUGGGGUGGUCUGGGGAAGAGCCCACCGCAAGAGGAGGUGAGUGUUGUUGCCCAUGUUGAGUUGCAGACUGUAAUGGGCACCCGCUUGUAUGGCUGGCAUGGCUGCAGCUGGUUUUUCCUUUGGGCAGAGGAGGGGUAGGUGGCAGCCUUUGUAGAAGGCAGACAGUUGUGUUUUUUUUUUUCCCCCUCCAUCCUGCUUUAUUUUGAAGACUGACAGUAUGUCAAACUAGUAAUUUUUACCUGUUUUACUAAUUGAAUAAAUUCUCUUGAGUUGUAGUUAUUUAGGACAGCAAUCAUGGUGGCAUAUGUAGCUGUCAAGACUCCUGGUGUCUGGGAUGUCAGCUUGUGGGCACAGCUGGAGAUUAAAAUAAACUGCAAGUUUUGAUACCAUCUUGCUCCCACUAGUACUAAAGAAUAGUAAGAUAAGAAAAAUACAAGUGAAUGGAGAGUUUGUGCGCAGUUCAUUGUUCAUGUUUAACAGCUGAACAUGGGCUGGAGGCAGAACGUACAGUGCUCAGUUAGAAGCCUACAGAGGAGGUAUAAAAGGACACCAUUAUUCCAGCAGCUGUUGCUUCAAGGAAACUGCGUUUAAUUUACUUUGUUGCCCAAAGGUUAAAGUAGAUACGUGGCUAUUUGUGCAAUGCUGACUGAGGCAAGAUGAGAGUAAUAGGGUACAUGGUGGGCUUUCUUGCAUCUGUACUUGUUCCAAACUUUGUUUCUGAGGCUGGGAAGGUGCAGCUAGAGGUCCUUCUCCUUGCUGCUAGGUGGUUUUCUGUGCAGUUUGGUAGAGACAGAGCUGAGGGAUGAAUCAGCUGCAGAAAAUCCUGUUCACUUACUGUGUUUUUUCUUGACCCUUCUCUGAAGGGGAGUUGGACUAAACUUGUGAGAUGUCAUCAGUGUUGUUCAGCAAAGCAUUGUGUGAUGACAAUGUACCUAGAGGUACAAAGGGAACCUGUGGCAACCAGAGGCUUUAAACCAAAGAUUUUGUGUCUAGUAUUUAUUAGAUGGACUGAGUCGGGUUUGGAAUUAAGCUCAAGAACAAUUUCAA